rnacentral:misc_RNA from 1 species
UACGGAGGGUGCAAGCGUUAAUCGGAAUUACUGGGCGUAAAGCGCGCGUAGGUGGCUGAGUAAGAUGGGUGUGAAAUCCCCGGGCUUAACCUGGGAACUGCAUCCGUAACUGCUCGGCUAGAGUACGGUAGAGGGUGGUGGAAUUUCCUGUGUAGCGGUGAAAUGCGUAGAUAUAGGAAGGAACACCAGUGGCGAAGGCGACCACCUGGACUGAUACUGACACUGAGGUGCGAAAGCGUGGGGAGCAAGCAGG